rnacentral:lncRNA from 1 species
AAGAUUUAAGUUAUAUCAGUUAUUUUAAAUAAAACUUAAAGAGAUCUGAUAGUUAAAGUGAAAAGGCCUGAAGGAAUCUGCAUAUAUAACAACUCUUAAUAUCUUCACUGAAAGCUCAUGGAAGAAGCUAAACACAACAGCAUGCCAAGCUUGGUCCACUCAGGAGCCAUCUGAUCUCCCCAGGCCAAGUUAGAAAGUCUGGAGUGGGUUUCUAGAGCACAUGGCCUGUCUCCCCACUGUGUAUCUCACAGUGGUCCUCUAAUUGCUGAGUGUGGCUGGCUAGACACAUAAUAGCAAAGAGCAUCAUAAUAGAGGAGCAACAUUCUGGGAGCCCACCAGAUAUCAUUAGCACCGUGGGAGAGAGGUGUCCAGAUCCUCGGGUCUUCCAGCAUCUCCUGGAGGUUCCUAGAUGUUUUGAACUGGUUUUAUUUCCCAUCAUAGCUUCAGAGAAGAGGGAUGAGAAGAGGCCAGCAUGUCUCCAAAUCACACUAAACAAGACCUAACCCAGAAUCUCAGUGUGCUAUGGGCAUGAAGCUGGAGCCAGGAGUACAGACAAGGUGGAUGAGGUCACAACAACCAAAUUAAGACCAUGAGGCGGUAACAGGAUUCAGUACGUAUGAAGUUGGCUCAAGUGUUGUCCACAAAGAGUUUAUCUACCAAUCUUCUUCCACUGUGACUUGUUCUCAGGUCGAUGGCAGAUCAUCCCUGUGCAUCACUUCCCCUGGCUGUUGUGUACAGCUGCAUUCCUGUCCAAACAACAGUAAUGGCCAUUCUGGGCACCAUUCUCACCUCUGCAUGCUAACAAACUACAGAAGAGAGCAUUUCAUGUCUGCAUCUUGUCGUGGUGUUUACCCAGACUUCCAGCGAGCACCUGGGCCUGGUACUGGGGAACACUGGCCUUCGGAAGCAAGAUCUGAGCUUAGUGUUGCCUACUCUUCAUCCACAUUCUUAGGAGGGCAGCAAGCAGCCUCACCUGAGGAAGGACAGAGAGCAACCUGAGCCAGGUUCUCCUGAACUCCCAUCAGGACUGCAGCCAGGACACCACAGCAGUACUCCUGCCUCUAAUCGCCUCAUGCUGACAAACAUAACCUGAUCAUCUACCUAACGCACAGGUCAGUCUAUGUACCCCUCCAACCACGGAAAUGAACCUAAAGCAUAGAUCUGUUUAUGUACCUUCCCUACCAAGGCUUCAUGCGAUUCCUGCCACCAUUACCAGAAACAAACUUAACUCAAAAGUGGUGGCCUAUGUGGGACCGUGAAAGGUAGCCUUUUUCCCAGUUGAGUUAAGGCUCGAAACCCCAGUGACCCUGAAGGGACAGUAAGUGUUUCACCUGAUUCCUGGGCACGAGGCCCCUGUAACCAGCAGCAGCUCCCCAUAGAUUCGUGGCUUUCAGUCACGUAAGGGCAACACCCUAAGCCCCUCCACUUGUAUAGGACCGUGAUCACAGGUCACAUAGGCUCAAGACAGAUAUUCAUUUUAAUGAAGUACCUAAAGGCCUGGAGGCUUAGCCAAUAAACUUUCAUUCCCAGACA